ACUCCUGGAGUCAACAUAUUAAAAUCUUUCAGACGGCACUGGAGCUUUUCUUUUUCCCUUCUUGUAACACUUGAUCUUUUAAAUUUUAGCUGGAAUAACUCUAGGGUUGGCGGAACUUCCUAAGCAAUAAGGCAGGCGGUUUUUCAGGAAUAUCUUGUUCCUCAUAAGAAUUAUUAUUUUAGAAAUAAGCAACUUUGUUUAGAAUAUCCCAGUUUUCUAUUUUACACUCCG
rnacentral:lncRNA from 1 species